UACAGAGGUGGCAAGCGUUGUUCGGAAUUACUGGGCGUAAAGGGCGCGUAGGCGGUUCGUUAAGUCCUGUGUGAAAUCCCCCGGCUCAACUGGGGAACUGCACAGGAAACUAGCGGGCUUGAGUUCGGGAGAGGGAAGCGGAAUUCCGGGUGUAGCGGUGAAAUGCGUAGAUAUCCGGAGGGACACCGGUGGCGAAGGCGGCUUCCUGGACCGACACUGACGCUGAGGCGCGAAAGCUAGGGGAGCAAACGGG
rnacentral:rRNA from 1 species